GCAAGUUUUAAAGACAAAAAUCCAGAAGGGGAAACAAAUAGAGCUGGUGGAGUGGGAACCAUGUUCCAUGUGUGGGAAGACGUGGCCUCCACAGUGGGUGGCAAAGGAGAAUACAAAGAACUAAAACAGCUACCUUCAGUAUUCUGUGGGCUGCUGUCCUGUUCCUUUUUUAUAAUAUUUUGUUAAUUUAUUAUCCAUUAUUGUUAUUGUUGGUGUUGAUGGUGGGUCUUGUUAUGUCCAUAUUGCAUAAUCUUUUGUAAUAAAAUAAAAACAUUUGAAAAGGUGUGAUCCA